rnacentral:lncRNA from 1 species
CCGCUGCGCAAGCUCUCUUGCCUGCCGCUGUGUAGCAUGUGACUUCGCUGUUCUUUGGCCUUCCACCAUGAUUGUGAGACCUCCUCAGCCAUGUGGAACUGGCGAUGAGGUUCCACCACGUUGGCCAGGCUGUCUCAAACUCCUGAUCCAAGUGAUCUGCCCAUCUUGGCCUCCCAAAGUACUAGGUUUACAGGCGUGAGCCACUGCGCCUGGCCAAUGCCCUUUUAAAAGGGGUCCCAGAGAGCCCCUUUGCCCUUCCAUGAUGGGAAGACACAGUGAAAAGAGGGCUGUCUAUGAACUAGGAAGAAGGCCUUCCCCAGACACUGAAUCUGCCUGUGCCUUGAUCUGGGACUUCCCAGAUCUUCUGGAGAGAACCGUGAGAAAUAAAUGUCUGCUGUUUGUAAGCCACACAACCUAUGGCAUUCUCUUAUAGCAGUCUGAAUAGACUAAGAUAAUACCAUAAGGAUCUACCUUUGGGACUGUGUGCUGUUAUAAUAAAGGCUCUGAUAAGUCCUGCUAACGCCAUUUAGACCAGGGGUUUCUAAACUUUUUGACCACACAAGUUGUUAUUUUUCCCUUUGCAAGCACCUUACAUGGAAAUCUUUUGGGAGGCUGAGGCAUGAGAAUUGCUUGAACCCAUGAAGCGAAGGUUGCAGUGAACUGAGAUCAUGCCACUGCACUCCAGCCUGGGUGAUGGAGUGAGACUCUGUGUCAAAAAAAAAAAAAAAAAAAAAAAAGAAAAAAGAAAAUAUUUUCAAAAUGAUGCCAUGGAUUAAAUCUGAUAGUCACAAAGGAUCCUUGUCUGGUGUUACCUCCAUUUGAUGGGUGAGGAAACAGGAGUCCUGAGAAACCAAGUAACUUGCUCAGGGUCAUGCUGUUAGGAUGUAGCAGAAUCAGAACCAAAACCCUAAGUCCCAGACAACUAAAAUCCACCACUCCAAUGGAGAGGCCCUUACUGCAAUGACCUGUUCUGAAGGAGCGAAACAAGGCAUUUAUUGCAGCAUCAUUUAAUUAGGAAAAAAAUCUGGAAAGACCCUGAAUGUCCAACUAAAGGGAAAUAGUUGAUAUUUAUGAUACUUCCAUACAAUGGAAUGUUAUGGGGCAUCAAUAAUAGACAUGAAGCACAGUAACAUGAGGUGGCACAUAUUAUAAUGUAAAAUGGGGAAAUAAAGCAAAAUGAUAAUCAUGCAAAUUAAAUGCAUGAAACUAAAAAAGAAAUACAAAAUAGUAGCUGUCUCUAGACGGUAGGUGAGUCAGUUCAGGUCCUCUGAGUAGCAGAAGGCAAAACAGAAUUAAUUGUACAAGGUCCCAGUCUCCACUGAUUUCAAAUCCACUUCUCAACUUCUGUAUGAAGUUCUCAUUCUCUUACUAAUUUUUUUUUUUUGAGGCGGAGUCUCACUCUGUUGCCAGGCUCGAGUGUAGUGGCGCGAUCUCGGCUCACCGUAACCUCCGCCUCCCGGGUUCAAGUGAUUUCCUGCCUCAGCCUCCCAGGUAGCUGGGAUUACAGGCGCAUGCCACCAUGUCCAGCUAAUUUUUGUAUUUUUAGUAGAGACGGGGUUUCACCAUGUUAGCCAGGAUGGUCUCGAUCUCUUGAUCUUGUGAUCCACCCACCUCGGCCUCCCAAAGUGCUGGGAUUACAGGCAUGAGCCACUGUGCCCGGCCCUCUUACUAAUUUUAAAUAACAUGUCUCCUGCAGCUUCUGUAUUGCAAAUAUAGGAAGUGAUUUUGGCGAGCAUUUGAAUUAUGGUAGCUGAUCUGAUCUGUUGUGUCUCCUUACUUUCUAAUUCUUUCUUUACUUUCUCCUCUUUUCCUCCCUCUGCUUAUUUGCUUCCUCUUGCUCUCUUCCUUUAUCUCCUCUUUUCCUACAAAUUUCUAAAAUGAUAGCUGAUGAGAAGGAAGAUCACUCUUACAUAAUUUGAUUCCUCAGUUUCCAUUUUCUUCUUUUUACAAGUAUAACAUUCUAUAUUUCUUUUUUUAAAAAAAUUAUUUUUUAAUUGAAAAAUAAUGGUACCUAUUGAUGGAGUACGUAGUGAUGUUUUGAUAUAUAUAAUGUAUAGUGAUUUGAUCAGGGUAAUUAGCAUAUCCAUCAUCUCAAACGUUUCUCAUUUCUUUGUGAUGGUAACUUUCAGUAUCUUCCUUCUAGCUAUUUGAAACUGCAUUAUUAUUACUAUUAUCAUUUUAUUUUAUUUAGACAGAAUCUUGCUCUGUCACCCAGACUGAUUUGUAGUAGCAUGAUCUCUGCUCAAUGCAACCUCUGCCUCCCAGGUUCAAGCGAUUCUCCUGCCUCAGCCUGCCAAGUAGCUGGGAUUACAGGCACGCUCCACCACGCCCGACUAAUAUUUUUUUAGUAGAGAUGGGGUUUCACCAUGUUUGCCAGGCUGGUUUUGAACUCCUGACCUCAAGUGGUCUGCUCGCUUCAGAGUCCCAAAGUGCUGGGAUCACAGGAACGAGCCACUGCGCCUGGCCAAAACUACAUAUUGUUAACUGUAGUCAUCCUACAGUGGUUUACAACAUGAAAGAAAACCAAGUAUUAAUUGUGCAGGAAAUUCAUUGAAGAAAAUGCCUGUGAAGGGAAAUGGGGAGGGAGCAGGGAGAGAUUUCAGACCGUAAUGCAGGUCUGACACCUCUGAAAGCAGAGUGGGAAGGAAGAGAGAUAGUUAGAAAGAGAAAGGCUUCAGCACAACUCUGAGAAUGUAUCAGCCAGCCGUAAUAGUUCCUAAGGCAACUCUCUCUGUUGGACAACUCCCAGUUGGGUUAGAAUCACCUAAUUCCAUUACUUCCGCUGUGCCCAGUCACUGGCUGGGAAGAUCCCCAGGGAAGUGCAGCCUAGCAUGAACACCUCGGUGGGUCAAAAGGUACAGCAGCUAGAGGUUGUCAGUUAGCUCUGCUUCCAGAGCAGUUCACCUUGAAGGAAGAUUUGAGCACAGAACUUCCAUGACUGAGAGCUUCUGGUGCACUUUACAGCAGAGGAAUUUGUGAGGCAGGUUCACUGUUCACUGGCUACCAACUUGUCCAGUGAGACAGAACACUCCCACACAACAAGUUACAUGAGGUAGGUUUAUUACUUACAGAUAGGCAGCAAGAGAUGGUAGAAGCCUAGGAUUCAUUGUGAGCUAUUCCUCCAAGUCCCCGGAAACCUGCUGAGGGUAAGUAGAGUCAUAUCUGUGCAUGCCUCACUUACACAGAAGCUCAGAUACCCCAGAAAGCAGCUGGUUCUGUGUUUUAUACCCCAGGAUGUGUGAUUUGCUGGGCUAAAGUGUUUAAGACAUUUUGUUUCUAGGGGUGGACUGGAACAGAGGUUGGGUCGUUCUGGCCAGUCCCUCUCUAUCUCAAGAUGUUGCAUUUCUAGCACAUUCUUCAGUUAUUCUUAAGAACCAUGAGUUGGGGAAAGAGGGAAGAACUGGGUAGGCCCAAGGCCACCCAGUGAACUGUCUAGCAGCAUUUUGCAUUUUGUAAAAGCACAUUAACAAUGGUUUUGAGAAGCUGAAGUCUGUGGACUGAUUCUCCCUGUAAAUACAGGCCUGCUUUACUAGCACCUGCACUUUCUGGUUCUUAUGCCCCCUCAAAAGUGUGCUGAGUCGUUUGAACAGAAGGAGACUGCCCCUCCAGCUCCCCACAAUGGGAAAUUGUCAUCACUGCCACAAAAUGAAUAGAAGGACUUGGCCAAGUUCAUCUUCCCUGGUUUACUGCCUGCACUUCAUCCCAUUUGGAAGAGAGAAGCAAUAGCAUUGAAUGGUCUGGCUUUUUUUUUUUUUUUGUAAUCAUGGCUAUACAGCAGGGUAAUGAAGGUCAGAGAUGGGGGCUUGAACCACCUGCCUGUGGUUUUGAGGUUUCCCCAAAUACUCUAUGGUUGUUAAGUUCCAUAAGAAAGGGACUUGUUUUUCAUUUUUAUUUUCUUUCCAACUUUUAUUUUAGGUUUGGGGGGUACGUGCGCAGAUUUGUUUCAUGGGUAAAUUGCAUGUUAUGGGGCUUGGUGUCCAGAUUAUUUCAUCACCCAGGUAAUGAAUGUAGUACCUGGUAAGUAGUUUUUCAAUCCUCACCCUCCUCCCAUCCUCUACCUUCAAGUAGGACCCAGUGUCUAUUGUUCCCUUCUUUGUGUUCAUGUGAAGUCAGUGUUUACCUCCUAAGUGAGAGCAUGCAAUAUUUGGUUUUCUGUUCCUGUGUUAAUUUGCUUAAGAUAAUGGCCUCCAGCUCCAUCCAUGUUGCUGCAAAGGUCAUGAUUUCAUUCUUUUUUAUGGCUGCAUAGUAUAUUCCAUGGUGUAUAUGUACCAUAUUUUCUUUAUCUAGUCUGCAAUUGAUGGGCAUCUAGGUUGAUUCCCUGUCUUUGCUAUUGUAAAUAGUGCUGCAAUGAACAUAUGUGUGCAUGCAUCUUUAAGGUAGAAUGAUUAUUCUUUUGGGAUUUAUACCCAUGAUGGGAUUGCUGGAUUCAACCUUAGUUCUAUUUUAAGUUAUUUGAGAAAUUUCCAAACUGCUUUCCACAGUGACUGGACUAAUAUACAUUCCCAUCAACAGUGUAUAAGCAUUAAAGGGACUUAACUGCUGAAUAGUCUUCACCCAACUCAAAGCCUGGCUCUCAGUAGAUACUCAAUAUAUUGCUUAUACAAUUAAAGGAAUGGUUAAAAGGAAGGAAGAUGUAUGCAGAAUCUGUGUACUGCUAAGUGAGCAAACAUUUGCUGAGGGUCUGUUGAAUUUGGUCCUGCUCAACAUUGAACUUGCCCACUUCUCACCACCAUUAAGGCCCCAGAAAAUUUGUUUAUCCACAGCCUUCUUCUUCUACCUUAUUACCUUGUCAUUUCUUUGAGACCUAAUAUCCAUUCCUCCUGAUCUCCAGCUCAACUCCCUAGAAUCCAUAGCUUCUAGAGUUUCGUUUAUUUAUUCCAUUUUUAUUUAUUUGAUUUAUUCCACUUUCAUUGAAUAUCAAGACCUCCAGGCAUAGUUCCAGGCACCUGGUAUGCAGCAACAAAUAUGAUGUUCAGAUAAUCUCUUGCUGCAUAAAAAAGAGCCUGAUCCCACAGUGGCUGGAAACAAAUAUUUGGUAUUAUUGCUCAUGACUCUGUGUUGAUUGGGCUCACCUACGUGGUUCUCAUUUCAAGUCCUAUGCAGUUGUAGUCAGAUAAUGACUGGGGCUGGAGUCAUCUGAAGGCUUGACUAGGCUGGCCAUCCAAGAUGGCUGAGACACAUGGCUGGCAUGAUAUUGGCUACUGGUUAGGAGCUCAGUUGGUGCUGUCGCCUGGAGCACUUUCA